rnacentral:lncRNA from 1 species
UUAAUUCAUUUACAAUCUAUGGCAAAAUUAAAGCAUAAAGUGAGUUGUCAAUAUCUUGAAAAGCAUCUACAGAGACAAGGAAAUCAGGGUUUGGACAAUAAAAUGGGUUUUCCUUUUAAGUUAUUGACAAGAUGGAAACUCACAAAGGAACCAUUUUUCCAGAACAAAAAAACGAUCAUGGACCACAUUCCAAAUUUCCAAUUCACAAGAACCGC